UACGUAGGGUGCAGGCGUUAUUCGGAAUUACUGGGCGUAAAGCGUGCGCAGGCGGUUUGCUAAGACAGGUGUGAAAUCCCCGGGCUUAACCUGGGAACUGCGCUUGUAACUGGCAAGCUAGAGUGUGGCAGAGGGGGGUGGAAUUCCACGUGUAGCAGUGAAAUGCGUAGAGAUGUGGAGGAACACCGAUGGCGAAGGCAGCCCCCUGGGCUAACACUGACGCUCAUGCACGAAAGCGUGGGGAGCAAACAGG
rnacentral:rRNA from 1 species